rnacentral:tRNA from 5 species
CGGGGCGUGGCGCAGCUUGGUAGCGCGCAUCGUUCGGGACGAUGAGGUCGGAGGUUCAAAUCCUCUCGCCCCGACCA